UGCGCAGGCGGUUGUGCAAGACAGAGGUGAAAUCCCCGGGCUUAACCUGGGAACGGCCUUUGUGACUGCACGGCUAGAGUGUGUCAGAGGGGGGUAGAAUUCCACGUGUAGCAGUGAAAUGCGUAGAGAUGUGGAGGAAUACCGAUGGCGAAGGCAGCCCCCUGGGAUAACACUGACGCUCAUGCACGAAAGCGUGGGGAGCAAACA
rnacentral:rRNA from 1 species